GGGUAGGUAGCUCAGUGGUAGAGCAUUCGGCUGCAAUCCGAAUGGUCCCUGGUUCGAACCCGGGUCUGCCCU